CAGUCGCCGCGGUAAUACGUAGGGUGCAAGCGUUAAUCGGAAUUACUGGGCGUAAAGCGUGCGCAGGCGGUUUUGUAAGACAGAGGUGAAAUCCCCGGGCUCAACCUGGGAACUGCCUUUGUGACUGCAAGGCUAGAGUACGGCAGAGGGGGAUGGAAUUCCGCGUGUAGCAGUGAAAUGCGUAGAUAUGCGGAGGAACACCGAUGGCGAAGGCAAUCCCCUGGGCCUGUACUGACGCUCAUGCACGAAAGCGUGGGGAGCAAACAGGAUUAGAUACCCCGGUAGUCCCUGUCUCUUAUAA
rnacentral:rRNA from 1 species